CAUUUAGAAAUUCAUUGUAGAAUAAAGGAUAUAUAAAAAAUACUUGUAAUUAUACAUAAGUAUACAAAGAAACUAUUAUGGAAUUGAAUGCUAUGUAUCAAAGAGAAUAAUUUAUAAAAAAAAUAAGAUUUAUUUUAAUUAUAUAAACUCUAAGAGAAAUUAAAUACUAAACGAAGUGAAUUGAAAUAUCUUAGUAACUUUAGGAAAACAAAUCAAAAGAGAUUCUAUGAAUAGCGUGAGUGAAAGUAGAGCAGCCUAAAAAGUAAAACGGUACAAAACUGUUUGAAUAAAAUGGGGAACCUUCCUCAAAGGCUAAAUAUGGUACAUAAGCAAUAGUGAAAAGUACCAUGAGGGAACUAAGUGAAAAUAGUAGUUUUAUAAGCAGUUCGAAAAAAAGAACGUACCUUUUGCAUAAUGGGUCACCAAGUUAACAUUAGAUGCGAGCAUACGCGUAGUUAAACCGAACGUUAAAAUAACGAAAUAGUGUCUAAAGUUAGACCCGAAGCACGGUGAUUUUACCAUAGUCAGGAUUAUAAAAGUCCGAACGGGUGAUUGUUGCAAAAAUCUCCGAGGAACUGUGGUAGGUGUAGUGAAAGACAACACUGACUGUGAUAGCUGGUUUUCUGCGAAACCUAUAAUAGUAGGCAAUUUAAGAAAAUAUCUUAGCAGGUACAUAAUUUAAUCUCAGACAAGACGUGUAAACGUUUUAUUUUGUACAAAUUGGGGGAUCAUGAAGAUCUUAUCAGUGAGUAUGUAGAUUCGAAAUGGCAAAGAUAUCCUCUUGAAUUAUCAGACAUAGAAUGAUAAGGUUGUAUGUCAAAAGGGAAACAGCCCAGAACAAGAGUUAAGGUUCCUAAAUUAUUAGUUAAGUGAAAUUAAGAAAGUUUUUAUUAAAGUCGACAAGGAAAUAGGCUUAGAAGCAGCCAUAAUUUUAUGACCUCGUAACAGAGCGCUUGUUAAGUUAUAAAAGCAUCGAAAAUUUAACGGAUCUAAACAAUAUACCGAAACCUUGUCUUUUUACAUAACAUAUGUUCACUUAUAGAUAAUAAAUCUUGAUAUGUUCUAUAUCCAUAUAUAAGAAUAUGUUAUUAUGUAGGCUUAAGAAGCAUAUAUAUAAAAGGUAAAAAUAGUUUAAUAUAAAUAGGUUGUAUAGAGUAAGUACAAGACUUGCAUACUUCGUAUGUAAACUUCUUUUUUCUUGUAACUAGAAAUGAUAGUAGUACAACUCUUUGUUACAAUAUUGUAACAAUAUUCUAAUAAUAUUGCAUUUAAUUAUACAGUAGUCUAACACUAUGUUAAUUAACUAUUUAUAGGGAACUAUCCUUAUAGUAAAAAGGGUAGCAGAACGUUGAGUGAAUAAUGAAUUUUAUUUUUUAAAUAGAAUUCUAAUAAUAUAACUCAAGUGAUAAUGGUGACAUGAGUAACUAAAAGAAAAUUUUCCGCCUUAAGCUUAUGGUUAGAGUUAAGUAACGGCCUCUAAGUUUAAUAUCUAAAGAUUUAAACGAUGAGAAAAUCUUUUUUACUAAAAACAACAUUUUAGUGUAAAAUGUGCAGGAAAAAUAGUAAAUAUAUUUGGAUAUCUGGUCAUACAGACUAGAAAACAAAUGAACAAUAACCGUACCUAGAUUCUAUUAAAAGUAAGCUAGUAGAGAAUACGAAGGCGUAAAUGAGCUAACAAUCAUAAAGGAACUCGGCAAAUUGACUACUGUACCUUCGGAAUAAGGAGGGCUCGUAUUUCUUGACCCAUAUCAAGAAAAAUGAAGAAGCAUAAAAUAAUGUUGUACGACUGUUUAAUUAAAACACAGCACUUUGCUGAAAGAUAAAAAAUCUAAGUAUAAAGUGUGAAAUCUGCUCAGUGCCGGCCGGUUAACAGAGAUUAUUAAAUAUCCUAAUAUUUGAAAUCAACGGAAACCCCGGUUAAAAGCGGCCUUAACGUGAGGGUCCUAAGGUAGCGAAAUGCCUUGGCCGUUAAAUGCGGUCUUGCAUGAAUGGUGUAACGAUACAACAGCUGUCUCUAUGAUUGACUCAGUGAAAUUGGAAUAGCUGUGCAGAUACAGCUUACCUCUAGUUAGACGAGAAGACCCUAUGCAGCUUUACUGUCACUAAUUAUGGAGUAUGAAAGAUAAUUUACAGAUUAUAAGGUAAUUGAUAAAAUGACUAUGAGAACCCUUUAUUUAUCUUUCAUAUGAAUGAAUUGGUUUAUAAUUAUAAACAAAUAUAAUUAAUGUUACUUUGUGCAUAUUGCAGUAAGUCGCAUAUAUAAAAGUUUAUAAUGGUAAAUCCACCUAGUUCAGUUUACUAUAUUUAUAUGUAUUUAUAUAAAUAUAUAUAUCUAAAUAGUAAAUGACCUUUGGUAAGGAACUAUCGCUAGGAGACAGUUUAUGUGGGGCACAGACCCUGUAAAGAGUAAACAGGAGUGUCUAAAAAUAUAUAAUUAUUUUGUUUGCUAUUUUAAAUAGAGGCGCAGUAGCGCACUAUUUUUAAUCAUAUUUAAUUACUUAUAUUUACAGUAUAUAUUUGUAAAUUUACAAUAUAUGCAUGUAAAUACUAGUAAGUGUUAUUUAGGUAAGAUUUUUACUAUGGAGAAAUUAGAGAUAAUAGAAGAUAUUAUGAAUUUUGCUUAUAAAAUUAGCGAAGCUAAUAUUUUCUAGCUAUAAUUAUUUUAUAGUUAUGUUUUCAAUAUCUAAAAAGCCGAACGGCUAAAUCUUGCCUUACUGUUUGAUUAUCGACAAAUCUUACAGUUGCGUAAGCAGGGCAUAGGAUCACAAGAUACAAUAAGGAUAGAUCUUGGAUUAUUGGAAAAGCUACGCUAGGGAUAACAGGCUAAUUUGCGCAAGAGUGUACAAAACAAGUGCGCGGUUUGGCACCUCGAUGUCGGCUUAACUUAUCCUCAUGGAUGCAGAAACUAUGUAGGGUGCGACUGUUCGUCGUUUAAAAAGUUACAUGAGCUGGGUUAAAUACGUCGUGAGACAGUAUGGUUUCUAUCUUCUAGGGGGAAUUAGAAUAAAAUAAGAACAAACUUUUGUACGCAAGGAACAAGAAGAAUCUAACUAAUAAAGUUAAAUUAUAGUUACUAACCUAUGGUUUACCUGUUGUUUAUGUACCCUAAUAUAUAUAUAGAAUAUAUAUAUGUAUUAUUAGGGGUGUUUCUCUUACUAAGAUAAAUUUAUAGCAUAAGCACGGCAGGAAAGCUAAGUUAGUUAAAGAUAAGUGCUGAAAGCAUGUAGGCACGAAACUUAUCUUAAGAUAUUUCUUAAAUAUACGUAAUAUACUAUUACGAAAUUUAUAGGCUUUAUCCGUAAGAAUCAGGAGAUUUUCAAGAAUAAAGUACUAAUUUAAUAAUUAACUAUGUAUAAAUAUAUC
rnacentral:rRNA from 1 species